AGGAUAAACGCUGGCGGCGUGCAUUAGACAUGCAAGUCGAACGGACUUUUCAGGGCUUGCUCUGAAAAGUUAGUGGCGGACGGCUGAGUAACGCGUAGGUGACCUGCCCCGAAGUGGGGAAUAACUGCCCGAAAGGGUGGCUAAUACCGCAUACGACCGUUCAUUCGUUUGAACGAUCAAAGCAGUAAUGCGCUUCGGGAGGGGCCCGCGUCCGAUUAGCUCGUUGGUGGGGUAAUGGCUCACCAAGGCGACGAUCGGUAGGUGGUCUGAGAGGACGAUCACCCAGACUGGGACUGAGACACGGCCCAGACUCCUACGGGAGGCAGCAGUCGGGAAUUUUGCUCAAUGGGCGCAAGCCUGAAGCAGCAACGCCGCGUGCGGGAUGAAGGCCUUCGGGUUGUAACCGCUUUACCAGGGACGAUUAUGACGGUACCUGGUGAAUAAGCCACGGCUAACUACGUGCCAGCAGCCGC
rnacentral:rRNA from 1 species